CGAAAUCAACAGCAACCACAAUAGGAAUAGUACAUGUAAUACCGAAGAAAUUAUACACAUAUAACAAACAAAACAAAUCAAUAUCCAAUACAGAAAUGCAAUAAUGGUCAACGUUGAGAAUGUAAUUCAACAAACAAAAAUGACUGGUUGUACUGAUGUUGUGUAUGACCUUAAAUACAGUAUAUGGAUAAAAUAGGACAUAGCACAGAGACUGGAUUUGGAUUAAUAACUUUAAAUGUUAUUGAUCAUUAGUUUAUAAUAGAGACUUGAGGGGUGCCAUUGCCAAGAGACUACACUAGAGGUUAAUGGUUAUCUAUUGGGCAAGGUAUAUGGUGGGUGCAAUUAAGCUUGGAAUGUACUGAGUGUCGGGACAACAAUCACAUGUGGCAGGCAAGGGGAGAGAGCUAUGGAUUAGUUAUGAAGGGGACGAGGUCAGUGUCCGUCGAGUUCUUACUCUAAUAAUUAGAACCUAACAGUUGGCACUGCGAGCAGGGUUCACCACGAUUUAUAGUCAAACCAGAGAGUCCAGAUCAAUGGAGCAGGAGCUGGCAACAAACAAGGUAGGCACAGUUCCUUUACCUGUUUCCACUCAUUUUGACAUCUUGGGGAGAUGAGAUUCGUCGGCUGAGCAAUUAGAGGAUGCGGACCUAGAAAGCCUGAGUUUAUUCAGUAGGACCAUUGAGUAAUGACCGGUCAUAGCUUUAAAGAGAGUAAGUCCCGAGCAGGAUAGUUUCCUGUAGAGGGUAAGACUCAUAGAUAGAGAGUAAGUUCCGAGCAAGUGGUCCUGUGGAGGGUAAAACUUUAGUGUAUCGGUUUAUCAGCCAGACCCGUAAAGGAGGCUGAAGGUCUCAGCCGCAGUGGCCGUGCGGCAGUAGAGUGUGUGUGGAUGGAUAAAGUCACCUGCUUGUGUACUAGGAAAAAAGGUUGCCAUUCAGGGUGAGAAGAAAAGCAAUACGUUAUUUGAACGCUGUUGGAUUUGGGUAUAUUAGCAGUAGCAAUAAAGAGGGGUUGGUUUUAUGCCCUGUUGGGGUGAGGAAACAUGGCAGAUUGUGGAAAUAGGAAGAGGAGUGUGAAUCAUUUGGUGAUGUGUGUUAUCAACAACAGUGAUAUUUGAGGCGCAACACUGGAAUAAGACCUUAGGUCAUGCGUAUUCUCCAGUAAUACAUUUGCAGACGCUAUAAUAUUGGUUCUAAUGCAAGGUAUUAAGUGCCGUGACAAAUUAAUAGGCACAAAUACCGUAACUAUUCUCAGGGGAAGUUGGUAGCGCUACCUUGGAAAAUAGUUAAUAGAAGGGGUGCAUUAGAGACAGGACUGAAGAAAUCUUGACACCCUGGACACCAUUGGGAGAGGAUUGGGAAUAAAAGCUAUUGAGCGAGAGAAUUUGAAUAACGCAACGGAGACGCUGAAAGUAGCACAUGAGCAUUCUAACAAUUCGGCUCGAAUACGGGAAACGUUUAGCAAACUGGAUAAAAUUGGGCAACAUUUCCCUGCUGAUGGAGAUUUCAAAACAAAUAAAGAAUUCAAGGAGGCAAUUAUGACCGGGCACAAUGAAAUCAAUGAGAAAUCGCAAGGUCUACACACAAGUGUUUUGAUGUCGGCGUUUUAUCAACAGAAGAGCAUAACCGAUAAAAAUGGAAUUAGUAGAUGUACUCAGCAACAGAAAGACUGGGUAAGGGAGUACAUUGAUAUAAUUGGUGCUCUCGGUUUUGAUGGCAGGUUUGAAACCCGUGAUAAAAACGGCAAUUGCAGGGGUAGUGGAUGAAAUAGAGCAAGAUGCUUUGAGAGUAGGAAACAGCUCCACUCCCUUCACAGACGUGCGAGGGGUUAAUACAGCCAGAGUGAAAGUCACUAACUGUGGUUUCAAUGGCCAAGGUAAGACAAAGAAACGUAGCGAAAAAAACACCGACGCUUAGGGAGAUAAGGGUCCUUUGAAAUCUGGGUAAGCAAGCACAGGUGGAUUAGUCAACACACUCACCAAGUGUUCUAAUGCUAUCUGGUGAGCAUCCUCCCAUAUAACUUUCUGGUGGGGCGGCUGCAUAGCUACCAUGGUCCUUCGCUUCCCGGAUGCUGGGGUCUCCGACUUCACUGCUAGUAAGUCAUAGAGACAUUUUGCAUGCUGUGAGAAGUUCUGUACAUAACUGUAGUACCCUAGAAACCCCAGUAGUUUCCCCAGCUCUCUCAUGUUUGUUGGUGGCCUGUUUACCAGUUCUCGCACUACUACAAUUUCUUUAACAACCAUUCUGUAAUCUUCAGAACAAAUCAUUUUUCCUAAAUAACAGACUAGGUCACACUCAUCAGCCCUGAGUUUAAUACCACAUUUAUUUUGCUGCCUGACUAGCUGACGGACAUCUUCCACAUGUUAUCCAAAUAACUGACUAAAAAUAAGCACAUCAUCCAAAUAUGUUAUACAGAUUCGAUCUCUUAUACCCUCUAAACUUUCCUCCAUGCUUUGUUGCAAGGCAGAGGGGCUGUUUGAUAAGUCAAACGUUAUUCUGUUCCAUUCAUGUAAGGCCCAAGGAGGGUUGAAAACAGUGUCUUUUCUGGACUCCUCUCCCACAAAGCCUUGGUGGUUUGCCUUUCAUCUAAAACUGUAAACCAUGAGUUUCCUCCCAAACCAUCAAGUAUUUCCUGUAUUCAGGGUUUGGGUUGCCUUUCCAGAACAUUCUUCUUGUUCAAUCCCCUGUAAUCAACACAGUCUUAAACACCCAUCCUUUUUCAAUACACAGACCAGAGGUGAUGACUUCCUGAUUAAGUUUUUAUUCAGGAGCCCCUGAAGGUGGCUUUUCACCUCAGCAUACAAGGGUUGUUGCACACCAUUGUAUCUCUUUGCCACUGGUAUGUUAUCAGUUAAUGUUAUCUCCAAUUGUAGAUUUUCAGUGCACCCUAUGUCCAUGUCAUCUUUGGCAAAAAUGGCUGAUUCCUCUGUGAGCAUCUAUUUGACUAAUGCUUGUUGUUCUUGGCUCAAGUGCUGUACACUCACUGUGACCGGUGUCAGGGCCAGGCUCCGGUGAGGAUCUGUCAUGAACGUGUGCUACAGUAACCUUUUCUUCACUAGGCACAGGAACCGGUUGACACGCUACCACUCUCUGUAAUGCCACUAUCACUGUUUGUCUUGGUAAGGUUAUGUCAUAUUUGGUAGUAUUCACUAUUGCAAUGUCAACUUUUUGAGAUGGGUGUUUGAUUUUUUCACUACUUGACUUUGUAGGUCCAAACCACAGAUAACUCUCCCGUCCGGUUCAAAUAACACAGUUUCAUAAUUGAAGGGGGCCUCUCUUGGGAUACAAGGAUGAAUCCACUUUCCUUUUUUCCCAUGGGCUUCACCCUAGUGGCUGAAAUAUAACUGUAUUAAGCUCCUGGGGUGGAAAUUCUAACCAAGUGAGAGAGACUUUGUCAUUUCUUCAAACAAUUAUCUUUAUUCAAUAUGAAUUAAUUAUUACAAUAAUGAGACUGGUCAACCCAAAAGUUUUGACUGUUGGGCCAAGAGCCUAACCUUUACCUACAAUGCAGAGUUUUUAUAUAGCUGACACUAAAAUUAUACUCCCAAAUAAAAAAAUUGUCUACAUCAAUUAUGGGCACAGGUAACCCCCCUCCCCCUCCAGGCACUGAUUCUUCUGCUGUCUUCUUCAUUGUCUACUUCAGAUAGUUUUACAGUUCAAAGUGGAUGGCCCAUGAUAAUGUCCCAAUUUCAAUGUCUCAUCUGAGACGCUAUCACCUUUACCACACCAUUAUGUCUUGUCCAUUUGUCAACCAGUAUACCAGCAACAUAAGAGAAGUUUGGAACAGAUUUCUCCCCGUGCUCACUCCACAUGGACUCCUGUCACACUCCUGAGAGAAAAGCAGUUGAUAGCUCUGAUUGGACGCUGGCGUACAUGUGGCUGACUCAGGUCUCUCGGUAGAAGUGGUGCAGGCAGGGCCGUAUUCAACGCCUUUGUUGCUCUUCAGCCAGUUAGAGGGGGGUUUUGAGGUACAUACACUGUUCGGUCCAAUUAUCACUUUCAUGCAUUGAGACACCGACUGACGUCACCUGUCACGGUAACCUCAAGAAAGAACAGAUCAGAACAACAGUCCAGUUCAUUUUCAUUCAGGAAAUCCAGACAAGCAUUUUUACCAAUUAUUAAUAAUCGCAAUGUCUAAACAUGUGUCAAAGAGAAUUACAACACAUUCUAUUGAAACUGUUUUUUCAAAUGGGCUCAUACUCCCCAUCACACUGUCAACUUCAUCGCGGAGCUACAGGAUCAGGAUGUUAGACCUAUAACCCAUCGGGAGAAAUCCCAACAAUCCAGCAGACCUAAUCUGGUGAGGUUUGUAUCAAAACAGAACAGAACAAACAACACAAAAAUACUCUCCUACACAUCACUCAAGGCGUGUAAACUUCAAUCUAAAACCCCUUCGGACUGUUACCUCCCCCAUUUUGACACAUAACUCCCCAUGUGAGUAAUGUGUAAAAACAACACUACUACUGGUCAAAAAAGAAAACAAAAUCAUUUCAAAUAAGUAAAUCGAAUUAGAAUCACUACCCUUAAUAACUCCAUAAAUAAAAAUAAUUGUACCCAUGCGGUCAUAGGAAAAUAGACUUAAGACAGCCUACACUUAGUCAAAGGCAACACCCUCUCCUUCUUCACAUAGGUCCAAAUCCCAAAUAUGGCUAAGAACUAUAAACUUUAUCAUAAUUAUCAAUAUUACAAAUGACCUUCAAAUCAGUAUUACAAAUGAACUUAAAUUCGUUAUCCAAAGGGCUUUCCAGUGAGGGUGAUCAAACCACACUGGAAAGUCAGGACAGAGGUCUGAGGUCUGAGGUCAUACAAAUCCUUCAAAGAAGUGUUUCUUACUAUAUUAGACAAAUUAAUUUAAAAAAUAUAAACCUGUUGUUUAACAAAUCUAGAACCUUCAAAAAGUUGGUGCUGUCUCAUCAGCGUAAUAGUCAAAACUCUCGCCCACUCUUAGCUAUGAUGUGGGCGUGCCCCAAGUUAAUAAUGUUCAGCCUGUACUUUAGGGAUUUACCUUCUGUCUGUAAGUUCAAAUGUAUGCAGAUGAUACAGUGAUAUAUGUGCAUGCAAAGAGCAAACAACAAGCUGUACAAGAAUUCACUGCUGUAAUGGUCCAGGUUACAAAGUGGCUCAGUGACUCAUGUUUGCAUCUCAAUGUGAGAAAAAAAACAGUCUGCAUGUUCCUCACAAAGAGGGCAAAUGAUGCCACUGAGAGAGAUGUCUAUGUGUCGGGGGAGAAGCUACAGGUGGUAAUUGAUUUGAAGUACCUUGGCAUCAUACUUGAUUCCAACCUCUCUUUUAAAAAGCAGGUGAAAAAGAUAACUCAAAUAACCAAAUUCAACCUAGUUAAUUUGCGAUAUACUCUACCAUUCAAAAGUUUGGGGUCACUUAGAAAUGUCCUUGUUUUUGAAAGAAAAGCACAAUGUUUGUGUUUUUCUUUGGAUUAGCUAACACAAUGGGUCAUUGGAACACAGGAGUGAUGGUUGCUGAUAAUUGAUAUUCCAUAACAAUAAUCAGCCGUUUUCAGCUACAAUAGUCAUUUACAACAUUAACAAUGUCUACACUGUAAUUCUGAUCAAUCUUAUGUUAUUUAAAUGGACAAAAAAAUGUGCUUUUCUUUCAAAAACAAUGACAUUUCUAAGUGAUCCCAAACUUUUGAGCGGUAGUGUAUAUGAAAUUGUUUGACUACAGAGGUAGCAAAAUAUUACACCUAUGAUACUCCCCAACUUAACAUACUGGUUGACUAGUUGGCCCCAAGCUUGCUGUACAACAUUAAAACCCAUUCAGUCUGUCUGCAAACAGGCUCUCAAAUUGCUUGAUUGGAAGUCCAAUAGCCAUCAUCACUGUUACAUCCUCAGAAAGCAUGAGCUCCUGAGUUGAAAAAAUAUUGUGCAAUACACUGACGCAUGUCUUAUAUUCAAGAUCCUAAAUGGCCUAGAUCCUAAACUUAUGGCUGUCACAUCUGUUCCUGCCACACCCUCUACUGCUUAUCCUGUGUCUCCUUGACCUGCCGCCACUCCCCCAGUACUCCCCCCCCCUCUCUCUCUGUGUGGGUGGAGACAGAUGUGCUGGAGUCAGAGAAGAUCCCCACCAGCUGCAACCUGUUCCAUAAUCAAGACCUCUACAAAUACUCAACCCUGCCACUUCCACGCUGCCAGAUCGUAAUCUCUGCUGAGUCACUAUAUGCUUCUAACCAUUUGUUACUGUUAGAUCCUGUUAUCCUUUUGUGCCUGUUUUCCUUGCCUGACGCUGUUUUCCUCUCCGCUACAGUUCUGCCCGCUCGGACUCUGGUCCCUGUCUCCAGUUCCACGUCUCGUCAUCCUGCUACUCUGUCCUGGAUUCCCCAUUCUACUGCUCCCUUGGAUUCCAAUCCGGACCUGCUUACCCUGUCCCAACCCAUCUCGCUCCAGCCUCAGCCUCUGCACCUGGUUCCCUGCAACCCACCCAAGCUUCCCCUGGCCUGCACUCCAUCUUCCCCUUGUGUUUCAAUAAAUACCUUGGUUACUUCA